UACGAGGGGGGCGAGCGUUGUUCGGAAUUAUUGGGCGUAAAGGGCGCGUAGGCGGUGCGGUAAGUCACCUGUGAAAUCUCCUGGCUCAACUGGGAGCUUGCAGGCGAAACUGCCGUGCUGGAGUGUGGGAGAGGUGAGUGGAAUUCCCCGGUGUAGCGGUGAAAUGCGUAGAUAUCGGGAGGAACGACCUGUGGCGAAAGCGGCUCACUGGACCACAACUGACGCUGAGGAGCGAAAGCGUGGGGAGCGAACAGG
rnacentral:rRNA from 1 species